AAGACGUAUAUUAAAGUUGUUGCAGUUAAAAAGCUCGUAGUUGGAUUUCUGGUACAACGCGCCUGGCCCGCUUUUAGUGAGUGCCGGUGCGCGUUUGCCAUCCUUCUAGAAAACGUUUCUACCUGGGCAACCGGGCCGGACUCGCGAUCUAGAUCUUUUACUUUGAAAAAAUUAGAGUGUUUAAAGCAGGCUUUUGCUGUGAAUACAUUAGCAUGGAAUAAUAAUCUAGGACUUCGGUUCUAUUUUGUUGGUUUCUAGUACUGAAGUAAUGAUUGAUAGGGAUAGUUGGGGGG
rnacentral:rRNA from 1 species